rnacentral:lncRNA from 7 species
AAGGGAAAUCAGGUGCUGUUUACAGCACUCACUGAUGAUGCUUGUUUACUCCUGAGGAGCAGUGAAGACUACUGCAGAGGACUAAUGCAGGUUUUUUGUGGUGGCUGUUGCAAGCGAAAGUGCAAACUACAGUACAUGGAGAAGGAAGCAAGAGUCUGUACUCGCUGCUAUGAUUAUAUUAAUAAAGGCUGCAAAUGCAGAGGAAGCUGACAUGCCAACUGAUGUAAAUUCAAAACCAAAAGAAGAAAUGGAUGGUAUUACAAGAAUGGAGGGACUGUGUCCUUCUGUUCCCUCAGAGGAUGCACAACAGAUCAUUUCCAGCCAGAGUGAGAUGACCGAUGGUGAUAAAUCUCUGACUCCAGACACUACAGAGUGUUCUUCUGCCAUGGAAUCUGGGAAGACUAGUACUAAUUUAGUAGAUUGGACUAAAAGUGAAAUGCCUGUUAGUCCUACAAGUUACGGAGCGCUCUGUGGUGUUGAAAACUGUGUUCGGAAAGAUGUCGACCUUCUUCCAGAUGGUGAUAAACUGCCACCGCUUCUGCUUGCCAUGGGUGAAAGAGGAAAAGGUCGCCUUGCUUCUUGAGAAAGGAGGUGCCAGUCCGUUAACCUCCUAACACACUUAACUAAUCCUAAACGCAAACUUGCUUGUGAAUGUCAAGUUAAUAUCUUGUAAGUAGCUCUGUUUUUUUUUCUCCAUUAAAUCUAUUUUUCUGAUUGUGAAGAACAGCAUUACUGUGGUCUCUGUCUUUUUAAUUGAAGAUUCUUCAGAAAAAUGCUGGUACUUCUCAACAAACGGGCUACACGGUUUGGGGCAGGCAGAAAUUGUCAUUCUGUUGCAGUGUUUGCCAGAUGAGAAGACUUUUCCUAAUGAAAUAUUCAAAUUAUUUAUUGACAUCUAUAAGAAUGCUGUAAAAGGUAUGGAAUCACGUCUGACGUUACGCUAUGAUAUUUUCUUGCUUGCCUUCAGAGUUGGAAGAUUAUGCGAUUUUUAUGCGUUUGUAGAUAUCUGACCUGGCUGAAAAACUUCUCAGUGUUCAGCCUUUGUUUCUAAAUAAACUGAAAGAAAAU